CCGACUUAUCAGCCCAACACAAAUCCAGCAGUCUGUUCUAUCAAUUUUCCUUAAUUUCAGUAGCCCAUUUCAUAAUAUACUGCCCAUUUCCAAUGGUCCAGCAGCGUACAACGCCGACCGAUAGGGUUCAAUUUUGUUUUGUCUUUGCUUGCGUCUGCCUAUGUUUAGUUCGUCGGAAUCGUAGGGGUUUGAGGUUGGUCGUGGAAGGCUCUUCUUUCGUCCCAGAUUCACCGUUCUACAAGAGAUUCUUCAUCAAAGUCAUUGAUUAUCAAGGAUUCAAACAGAUUUUCGAGCUCAUAAAGGAUUAUUAUUAAAGCAGAUUUCGUGGUGGCAAGCUCACGUGGUAUCUAAUUAUCUUUCACGCAUCUCAAUUGCGUAAUGUCACGGUAUGUGCCACGUAAAUUAGUUCUGUUAUGUUAAUCAUUCUGAUUAUUUCUCAUUUUAUAUGAAUUGUUGUUGUUUUUUAUCCUCUUUAGAAUGAUUAUUUUUAUUAAUUUAAAUUUUGUGUAUGGUUAAUAAUUGAAAAAUCGAUCUGAACUAAACCAAAAUAAAUAACAAUCAAACCAAAUAAAUGAAUAUUAUACUUGGUUAGGUUUUGUUUUAAUAAAUCAAAAAUCGAAUAAAUUGAUUGGUUUUGUUUUCAACCAAUAACAUGUAGUGUCCCAUAUCUUGUAAAAUUGCGAAUUAGUCAUUUUACCUUCUCUUUGGCAAUUUCAUGCUUAAUUUGUGUUUCGAAAAUGAUUUAUGUGGUCCCAACCUAGUAGCUUAUUGCUGAAAAACGUUGCUAGGCUAGUCGUUAGACCUUACUGUGAUGUUAGCUUGUGGAGAGGCUUAUGUGAUACUGUUAACUGAUGUGCAAAGUCUGUGAUUCUUUAGAAAAUUGCCCGAGUUAGGGGCUUGAGUUGACUUAUGAACAUAUUAUAAUGAAAGAAAUGAUUUCAAAUGGAUUUCUCCACUAUCCAUAUCCUAACCUUUUGAUUUUGGGAAUUCGAUACUAUUUGCAAUUCUUAAAGAACUGAUUAUGCCUUGUGUUGUGAUGCAUGCAACUUUACGAGUUUCAAAAAAAAAGUAUGUGUUGUGAUGCAUUCCUCAUGAUGUAGCAUAUCAUUAUUUCAUGCAAAUAUGAAAAAGUGGAGUAGUACUGUCUUUUCAAGUAAAAAAUAUUGACACCUUACUUAUAUUAUUGACCACGCUGAGCUGGCAAGUUGCUUAUCUAACAAUGCAACUUGAAAAAAAUCUUAUGUUAUGUAUGAAGUGAGUUGAGCUUCAUGGAGAUCGUGCUGGCUGUGAUGAUCCAACCAUGGUGACUUACAUUGGGUGCAUUGAAGGUUGAAGUUAUCUCCUCAUUGGUCAUCAGAAAGGUAGAAAAUACAAAAGAAAACAUCAUGUAAAACUUUGCAAUGCCAACCCCUCAUGGUUAUGCUUCAAGAAUUCUCAUUCAUAGCAAUAUUACUAAUUACUAUCAUUAAGCAUUCUAAGUAAUCUGCUCUGUGGUUAAUAAAUAGAUCAAAUUGAAUUGAUGUUUUGAUUAAUUAUUUUGAAGUUGAUGCUCAUAGCCCCUGAACAUGUUCCCAAUUUGAUUUUAUUGCUCCGUUAUCAGAUUAUUGGAGAGUAUAUGCAGCAUUCAGUUGUUUGAAAGGAAUGUUCUUCACCUUGACGUUCAAAUAUUGAUUUGUUCAUUUAGAAUCUAUAGUCAUAAGGGCAUGUUUGGGCUGAAAGUUCCACAGUCCUAACUAAUGAAGGUGGUUCAAGCAGAGUUCUUGUCAUUGGAUGUGGUUAAUGUUCAACAUUUUAUGUUACUAGGUAAGUUUGGUUCAUUUGUACUUCUUCCAUAUUUUUGCUACUUAUCAGGCAUGUAACAAUAUGAAGAAAAAAGAAAAGUUCAAGUUUAAAAAUAAUUUAUCAACCAAAAACAUGUUUUAGCUUAAUAAUAUGGAUACAUUUUACGUAUGUUGCGCAUGGAUUUUUUAGUUGUUGCUUUUACACUUGUUGCAUUGUUUCCUUGAAUAUCUCCAUUUUUCUGUAUCUUUACAAAAUCUAUGCUUCUUUGAUCAGUCUUGUAGCUUGUGCUUCUAUAUUUUGAAAAUCUUUACAAGCAGGUCCAACCUCCAAAGAUACUAUAGUUGUUCAGGUUUGUGAAAAAGAUGGUUUAUCAGUACUAAAAUUCUGAUUGAAUAGGCAGCUGAUAGCUCAAGAACAUUAUAAACUUUGGGUAGCAGAUUCAAUUAUUCCAGUAAGUACCAUCUCUAUACUUAUUAAUUUGGUUUCGGAGUGGAAAAGAUUGGAACCUAUGGUAAAGGGUUGGUGAUGCCAAGUAGUGAGAAAGAAACAAUGUUUGGCUGGACUUUUGGAAGACGAAAGAAGAUGCAAAACAUAAGAUUAUCGCUCCCUUGUCACUUAUGUUGACAAAUGUUUUUGAUGAAGUAGAGAAGAAUUUUACAUAGUUCCUCAUCCCCUAUUUAUUUUUUGUGCACCACAAGUUUCUUGCUUCUUACAUGUAUAGAAGAUUGGAUUUAUUCGUAACUAUGCAUCUUUUGUAAGGUUGUCUAGAUUAUAUUUGAUAUUAUUCUUGUAA